rnacentral:rRNA from 1 species
CGGGAGGCAGCAGUGGGGAAUAUUGCACAAUGGGCGCAAGCCUGAUGCAGCCAUGCCGCGUGUAUGAAGAAGGCCUUCGGGUUGUAAAGUACUUUCAGCAGUGAGGAAGGUGGGUAUGUUAAUAGCAUAUUCAUUUGACGUUAGCUGCAGAAGAAGCACCGGCUAACUCCGUGCCAGCAGCCGCGGUAAUACGGAGGGUGCGAGCGUUAAUCGGAAUUACUGGGCGUAAAGCGCAUGCAGGUGGUUUGUUAAGUCAGAUGUGAAAGCCCGGGGCUCAACCUCGGAAUUGCAUUUGAAACUGGCAAACUAGAGUACUGUAGAGGGGGUAGAAUUUCAGGUGUAGCGGUGAAAUGCGUAGAGAUCUGAAGGAAUACCGGUGGCGAAGGCGGCCCCCUGGACAGAUACUGACACUCAGAUGCGAAAGCGUGGGGAGCAAACAGGAUUAGAUACCCUGGUAG